ACCGGCGCACGGGUGAGUAACACGUAUCCAACCUGCCGAUGACUCGGGGAUAGCCUUUCGAAAGAAAGAUUAAUACCCGAUGGCAUAGUUCUUCCGCAUGGUAGAACUAUUAAAGAAUUUCGGUCAUCGAUGGGGAUGCGUUCCAUUAGGUUGUUGGCGGGGUAACGGCCCACCAAGCCUUCGAUGGAUAGGGGUUCUGAGAGGAAGGUCCCCCACAUUGGAACUGAGACACGGUCCAAACUCCUACGGGAGGCAGCAGUGAGGAAUAUUGGUCAAUGGACGAGAGUCUGAACCAGCCAAGUAGCGUGAAGGAUGACUGCCCUAUGGGUUGUAAACUUCUUUUAUACGGGAAUAAAGUGAGGCACGCGUGCCUUUUUGUAUGUACCGUAUGAAUAAGGAUCGGCUAACUCCGUGCCAGCAGCCGCGGUAAUACGGAGGAUCCGAGCGUUAUCCGGAUUUAUUGGGUUUAAAGGGAGCGUAGGCGGACGCUUAAGUCAGUUGUGAAAGUUUGCGGCUCAACCGUAAAAUUGCAGUUGAUACUGGGUGUCUUGAGUACAGUAGAGGCAGGCGGAAUUCGUGGUGUAGCGGUGAAAUGCUUAGAUAUCACGAAGAACUCCGAUUGCGAAGGCAGCCUGCUGGACUGUAACUGACGCUGAUGCUCGAAAGUGUGGGUAUCAAACAGGAUUAGAUACCCUGGUAGUCCACACAGUAAACGAUGAAUACUCGCUGUUUGCGAUAUACAGUAAGCGGCCAAGCGAAAGCGUUAAGUAUUCCACCUGGGGAG
rnacentral:rRNA from 1 species